AACAGGGGCUGAACAGGGGAUUGAGUCUCCACGUUUUGGGUUGAAUAAAAAUUGCCAGGUGGAGGUUGUCAGGGGGAAGGUGUUAAAUGGAAACACUAUAUAUAAACUGCAUGCUUUUUGCAAGGGACUGUGGCUUUCCUGCCCAGCCUGCCACCGCUGAACUGUAUAUAAGGUGGUUCUUCUCUUCAGCCCACUGUCAGUGGGCUCCCUCCCCCGUAUGUAAGCCCCCAGCAAACUCCAUUUCUUGUUUGCUGGCUCAGAGCCUCUUCUUUGGCCUCUUAAAAUAGGGGUUCGGCAUGACACCAUUGUGUGCAUAGAGGAGGCACGCGGAGGAGAGCGAACAGACUCCCAAAGUAAAACUUCAUCUACUCCUGAAUUUUGCCUGGACCCCACUCGGGUGGCCACAGGCGUGGAUUCGCAGUUGCGCUAUCUGCAUUGGAGCCCAUCUGCUGCUUUUCCUUGGACAAUGGCUGCCCGUUUAGGGUUGUGACCCAGGAGUCGCUGUGGUUAUCAACUGCGAGAGCUCAAACGGACACAUGAGAAGCAGCUUUGUUUAGCGUCCUUGACAUAACUAACCACAUAUUAACAACAGAGCCUUGUGGUAUAGAGGCUCCUGUUUGUUCAGAAUCUUAAUAGGUGGGCUUUGUGCACAUGGAUUUCUAAUACUGCUUACCCUGUAUUUUAAGUCAAAGAGGGUCUUUGUGUGAAGGAUUCUCCACCUCCUUUUCCCUUUCUACGAAGGAGGCACAAAGCUGAUCAUUCAGUGGAGUCCAUUCUCACCAUGAGAAGAACAUUCUACUGUCAGCAGGCAGAGUGAGGAUGGAGACAUCACUGAUUCACUUGGCUAGUUCCAUGUGGGCAUUCCAUGUCCAUGGAUGAAUGGAUAAGUAACUGAUCCACAAGAGGAGGGCUCACGGGCAGAAGAGAUUUGCCUUGCCUCAGAUGACACUUUGGACUGUGGACUUUUGAGUUAAUGCUGAUAUGAGUUAAGACUUUGGGGGACUUAGGAAGUCCCAUGUUGGGAAGGCAUGAUUGGUUUUGAUAUGAGAGGACAUAAUAUUUGGGAGGGACCAGGGGUGGAAUGAUAUGAUUUGGCUGUGUUCCUACACAAAUCUCAUCUUGAAUUGUAGAUCCCAUAAUCCCCAUGUGUCGUGGGAGGGACCCUGGUGGGAGGUAAUUGACUUAUGGGGGUGUUUUUCCUGUGCUGUUCUUAUGAUAGUGAAUAAGGCUCACAUGAUCUGAUGGUUUUAUAAAUUACACUUUCCCUGAACAUAAUCUCUUGCCUGCUGCCAUGUAAGCUGUGCUUUUGCUCCUCCUUUGCCUUCCACCAUGACUGUGAGGCCUUCCUAAGCCAUGUGGAACUUUGAAUCCAUUAAACCUCUUUAUCUUUAUAAAUUACCCUGUCUUAGGUAUUUCUUUAUAGCAGUAUAAAAAUGGGCUAAUACAGCCAUAACUCUCUUCA
rnacentral:lncRNA from 10 species